rnacentral:lncRNA from 1 species
UGCACAUAGGGGAAAAAAAGUUUCUAUAAGUAAAUGAAACAAGAAAAAAAAAAAAAAAAGACAAACUAAGAAUCAUCAUCAUGAUGUCACCCUCAUUAUUGAAAAGAAUAUGAAUAGGAAAUCACCUGUAAGCACCAUUUUAUCCAUUGGAGCACCUGUAAAAGAUAGUAAACUUAUUAGCUUUUUGUAUUCUUUUAAUUAGUAAAAUCAUAAUAGAUUACAUGACGUUGUAACAUGAGUAUAGUUAUUUUUGGUGUAUUUGGAUUUCAACCUUGGCCUUUGCAGUCCUUUCUACAGGUUCGAUUGUUUUAGCUAAGCCUAAUUGUUGUAGCUAGCUUGUAAUGAAUAAAUAAUAUUGCAUGUUCAGAUCCAUUACUAUAGUAGUUAAUUUGGUUCACAUCCAUAAGGGUUCAAUCCAAUUUUAUGGUACAAACAGAGAAUACUAUAGAAAAUUUCAUGUGCAUAUUAACAUCAUAGUAGGAGAUAAGAAAGGGCUUGCAAGGUGAAAAUGAUGAAGAAGCGGGAUUUAGUACCUUUUGCUGGUUUAUCAAUGCAUUCGAUUUCAGGUUCCCUGCUAUUAUUCUUCUUCCGUUGGCACUUGUUUCCUUUUGCUUCACAGUUUCCGCACAUAGGUUUUGACCAAUUCAUAUAAAAUUCCCUUUCAUGAUAAACCAUAUAAUUAUAUGUAUAAUAUUCUGGGAGUGUAGCAUUGAAAAUCUUCCGGCAAGAGGAUAAGUUCACUUCAGCGAGAGAGUAAGAGGAAGGAGCGACAUAAACUGGGUUACUUGAGAGAAUACUGCAAGGGAUGGACCAAAGUUGAUUAUCAGCAUAUGAUAGCUGAUUUGUUAUAUCUUCAGAACAAUUGAAGAAGGAGAAGUUGCUGUAUGUGUACUCAUCUUUGAACUGGAAGGGAAAGGCAGAUAAAUUAAAGUUUAGAAUCUGCCAUUGAAGGUAAUCACGCGGGUACCAGAGAACAAUCUCCUGAGAAGUGUAAUUUAUUUCCUUCACCCAGAGCUUUCCUGAAGAGGGCAGCUCUAGUAUGGUCCGCUUCUCUUCUGAGCAUGAUAGCUCAAACUCCGGAUAUCCACAGUGUUCUGGCUGGUGUUUUAGCCGGAACGGAAACCGGAUGACUGGACCAUGGUGACUGCACCUUGACGCCUUGCACUCAUCAUCUCGGCUUCCUCCAUUAAUCUCUGCAAACAAUCUCAUAAACAAGAAGAAGAAGAAUAAAGAGAUGCCCAUUUUUAAGCAACUGCUUAUCUCUAUAGUUUUAAUUUGCACUGCUUCUCCCCUACUUUAUAUAUAUAAUUAGAUUUGAAAAUUUUGUACAAAGGGAGAAGAACUUUGUUUGUUUAGGAAGCAGGUGCUUUUAGGGAAUACAAAAAAGAUGGAGGACUGCUACAAUAAAAAUUUAGUUUUAUCUCAGAAUAUAAAAUUUACUUGAAAAAAUUGUAGAAAAUUGGUCUAUCAGUAUUUACUAACAUGCCGUAUGAGUAAAGAAAGAUGAUAAAGAUGAUCCUUCUUUAUCCUUUUCCCAUUGUUGAGACCUAAAAAUUAGGUAAUAUUUAAAACAUAAACAAUUCCAAUAUAAACCAUAAUAACUUCAAGCAUCAUUUUUAACAUAGUGAUUCUAAAUAAUGGGAAGCUCACAGUUGGCUGGAUGUGAUGGGAUGAAAGUGUGGUCCCAGUUGAAAAAUCAAACAGUUUGGGGAAGAAUAACAUGUUGAAGAAAGCUGCAAUUAAAACAGAGUAUCUCUCUCUCUGUGGAACUCACAACCCAAAAACAGAGCAUCUCUCUCUCUCUCUCUCUCUCUCUAAAAUUUGAUAAUGUUAAGGGAGGCACAACUCGUGGGAGUAGGCCUCAUGACAGUAGUCAUCCAUGCCUGCUUCCUUUCAGUUUGUGUUGCUAAGCAUCACAAGUACCAGAUAUGCAGCCCCUCUUCCUGCGGAGAUAUGAGGAACAUUUCCUACCCUUUUCGAUUACAAGACGAUCCCCGCAGCUGCGGUUACCCUGAGUAUGAAUUGAUUUGUGAAAACAAUCGUACUAUGAUAAACCUUCAUGGUGGGACAUACUUAGUUACCCAGAUCAACUACCAGAAUUAUACAAUUCGGGUAGUGGAUCCUCGGCGAAAGAAGGACAACUGUUGGAUCUCCAGUCCUCUUAAUUCCAUUGGUGCAUAUUACAAAGAAAAUCCAUAUGAUUCGUCUUCUGCAUGGAGUGCUGGUUAUACUCUGCCUUAUAAAUGGAAUCCUGCUUCUCCUUAUCCUUCUGAACCAAUAUUCUAUACAAUAGUUUUGAUGAACUGUGAGCAGUCAAUCAGGGACGACAACUACCUUCAUAUAAUUCCAUGCAACACUAGAGGCUCUUCCUCUUCCUCACCAACAUACGCUUAUGCAGUUGUCGGAGACUAUGUGUCGGUGGGAGAUAUUCCGUAUUCAUGCACCAUCGGCACAUCUAUUAUUAUUCAACCGUUGAAGUCACUUCCAGAGCCCAGCAAUCUUUCGAUGUCAGAUUUGCAAAAUUAUAUGCUUCUGGGGCUUCAGCUUUCAUUUUUGCCUCUCUUCUGCCACCGCCAAUGCGAAAUGAUAGGGCAAGAUUGCUACGAUAUAAAUUUCACUGGGAACGUCGGCUUUGAAUGCAAGUCAUGGGCCGACCUUACUGGCAACACUCCAGAGAAAAAUGGUGAGUAUAAGAUGCCCUCAUACUUGAUCUUUGGAGUUGGGGUUACAGUGCCUGCAAUCAAGGAAACGCGAUUUUAUAGGAAAUUAAUUCCCUGAAAAUCUGAUUAUGCCUAACCAUCUUAUCUUCCUUGCAUUAGUCUUCAAUAUUUCCAUCCCUAAUUUCACUUGUUUGGUUUAAUCUUGCAGGGCUUUGGACAGGGCUUUGGAAGUUUAUAAGAAUUUAUUUAUUGCUACCCUUCUUUAGUAAGGCUUCAACUAAAAUUUUCUUUGAAAUCAAAUCUUUAUUUUAUUCAUUUUUCCUAUUUUUUUUACAAAAUUUCCUAAUUCAUUGUUAACAGGGGGGUUACUUUCUCCCUACACCUUAAAAUUUGGAGGUAAGGAUGCUUCUUGCAAUUAUUAUUUUCUCAUGAGAAUAAGACAAAAGAUUUAUUUAGAGUUCUUUCAUCUUAAUUAAUCUCUCCAUUUCUUGCUUCUCAAUAAAUUUAAAAUUUAGGCAAUCAAGGGCAUUCUUCCUUGUGACUAACAUGGCACGAAUGGUUUAAUAUAGGACUUCAAGAAGAACUUAGUAAAUGCGAAUUUUACUAUCCCUGCAACACCUCGAUGAUUGGUAAGACUUUCUUCACUUACAUGUCUCCUCUUCUAAUGUUAUUUAUGUCUCUCACUUAUAUUGGUCCAUAUUUUUAAUUUGUUACAUCUCUUCCUUACUAGGCGGCUGGAUACUGCGUAUUAUUGGUAAGCCUCCUAAAUUCCAACUACUAAGUUUUUGUAAAAACAAUAUUGUAAAGAGUUGAUAUGAAAAUUCUUGGAAUUCUUGCAUUUUGAAGGUUGUGCAGUGAACUUCAAAUUGAUUUUGCUUUGUUUGACUGUACAAAGCAAAAUCAAUUUAGAUGUAAUUCAAAAUUUUCUCCCAAAUUUAAAUGUAAUUCAACUCCACUAACAUAUAAAGAAGUCAAAACAAUGAAAUUGAAAUUGGGGUCUUCUUAUCCAAGGCCCCAGUACUUCCAUCAAAUUGCUCCCCAAGCAACAGUACUCUGUAAAGUGAUUGUUAAAGUAGCUAUUUUAUAUGGCUCUCUAACAACACAACAACUUAGUGUUUUACUUUAUAUGAAGGUAGAAUAGUUUUUUCUACCAUAUGUAUUUGUUGGAUUUAACUUUGUUUUUGAUAUCUUGUUCCUUUUUCUUAAAAUAAUCAUUUUUUUUUACAUUUGAUUUGUGUUUAGUCAUAGGAAGGACUAUGCUCGGGAUGUUGUGUCUAUUCGCCUAUUUGAUUUACAAGUUCCACCGGAGACAUCUAUCAUUAGAUGAUAGCAUUGAAGAAUUCUUACGGAGUCAAAAAAAUCUCCAACCCAUCAAGUACUCGUAUUCAGACAUAAAGAAGAUGACUCAUAACUUUGCGAAUAAAUUAGGUCAAGGAGGUUUUGGCUCUGUAUAUAAAGGAAAACUUCGAAGUGGUCGCAUUGUAGCUGUGAAAGUGCUGGUCAUGUCAAAAGCUAAUGGACAAGAUUUCAUCAAUGAGGUUGCAACAAUAGGAAGAAUUCACCAUGUUAAUGUGGUGAGACUUGUAGGAUUUUGUGUACAAGGAUCAAAAUGGGCACUUAUAUAUGACUUCAUGCCUAAUGGUUCUCUUGAUAAGUUUAUUUUUCUUAAAGAAGAAAAUAACACUUUUUUAAGCUGGGAAAGGUUGUAUAAGGUUGCACUUGGAGUGGGGCGUGGGAUUGAAUACUUNNNNNNNNNNNNNNNNNNNNNNNNNNNNNNNNNNNNNNNNNNNNNNNNNNNNNNNNNNNNNNNNNNNNNNNNNNNNNNNNNNNNNNNNNNNNNNNNNNNNGGGCGUGGGAUUGAAUACUUACAUCAAGGCUGUGACAUGCAAAUUCUACAUUUUGAUAUCAAGCCACACAAUAUUCUUCUUGAUGAAGACUUUACACCAAAAGUUUCAGAUUUUGGCCUUGCAAAAUUGUAUUCAACAGAUGAAAGUAUGGUGUCUCUCACUGCUGCACGAGGAACAUUGGGAUAUAUUGCUCCAGAAUUGUUCUAUAAAAAUAUUGGAGGUGUCUCAUACAAAGCUGAUGUUUAUAGUUUUGGAAUGUUGUUAAUGGAGAUGGUGGGGAGAAGAAAGAAUGUGAAUGCAAAUGCAGCGCACUCGAGUCAAAUAUAUUUUCCAUCAUGGAUUUAUGAUAGAUAUGAUCAAGGAGAUAACAUAGACUUGGGAGAUGCCACUGAAGAUGAAAAGAAGCUUGUUAGGAAAAUGGUGAUAGUUGCACUAUGGUGUAUACAGAUGAAGCCCAUAGAUCGUCCUUCAAUGAGCAAAGCUUUAGAGAUGUUGGAAGGAGAGGUUGAGCUAUUAGAAAUGCCUCCGAAGCCUACUCUAUACUCUGAGGAAAUGUUAGUUGAGGAUCAUAUGAGCAAUCCAAUAGAAGCACCAAUUUCCUUGUGCAAUUCCAUGGGUACAAUUACAUUAGAUGGAAGGUAGCAUAGCAUUUUUCCACUUGCAUGCUAUCUCCUAUGAUAUCAUAUGUUUGUAAUUUGGAUUAAAUGUAUGGGUUAUAACUCCUCUUGCAAGGUCCAUAUAAUGUAAUAUUGUCUUGAGGCAUUGGCAUGGUACCCUAGCAAGGUACCCUAGCAACAAGCAUAUAAACAUGUAAUAAUUAUUACCUAUGUUCUAAAUGAUUCAAAUAGCACCAAACGGGAAUAUCAAUUAAUGUUUUAAGGCCUAGUUCCAUAGUACUCAAAUGAUUAUUGUUGUAUUGCAUAGCCUCACAUGACUUAAAUAACACCAAAUAUAUAUAAUAGAAAACAAAGUAAACUAACUCUAAAUAGAAAGAAAAGCAAUAAGAUUAAUAAAGAUAAAAGAAAGGACAUAAUAUUUAUGAUGUACCAUAAGAGUGUCUUAUCUAUGUCCUUGGGAAAUAGCAAUCAAUUCAUUAACUUUUAAAUUAGAAAAUUACAAAAUUGGAAGAAUAUCGAACUAGGAGGCUCUUACUUGGCAAAGAGCUUUCUUUAUACUAAUAUUGGCUAAAGCCACUAAGAUAGCUAAAAGGACAUGGGCUUAUAUAUAAGCCUCCAAGCAUUGACCAAACCAAUUCAUAAUCCAUGUGGGACAAGGAAUCCCUAAACUAACGAAUACUAAUUACACCAAAAACCAACAAAUCUCAACCUUGGAAAAUUAAUACUCCACUACCAACUCCCAAAAUUCAAAUAUUCUCUAACAAAUGAACUUCAAAUGCAUCUCUAGAAACCAUAUACCCAAAAUUUUCAAACUAGUAUGAUAUUAACCAAGCCCAAAUAGUAAGAGGGAGCACUACAGGAAUAAUGCCUUAUAGCAGCGGCUAGUGACCCUCACUAGAGGUCAGAAAUAAUGUGCCUGCAAAUUAUGGUUGCACACCAAGUUGACCGCUACAUGGUGUAGCCAUAGGUGGUGCAACAAUUUCUUAUAGCUGCAGUUGUGAAAGUGACCAUAAACACAAGUUAAAGUAAUAGUAGCAACCAUAGUAAAGUGCAGCAAAUGGUUCUUACAACUGCAUCUUGUUUUUGGCCCCCGCUAAAUGGCAUAUAGUUGCAUUUUGGAGUUGGCCACAGCUAUAAGUUAUCAUUAUUCAUUUUUUGUGACGCUCGUUUGUGAGGCUCCCCAUUAAAUCCUUCAAAACACUAUAAAAAUGGUGUGGAUCAGAAACAUUUUUCUUCUAAGAAUUUGAGUAAGCAUAAUCUUUCUUUUGAUAUUACAUGCAAUUUCAUGUUGCAAUAGUAGCUUGACCUUAUCCCAACCACCUCAUAACUGAAUGACAAUUUUUUCUGGAUCUCUUUCAACACCAAUAGCAAGUUUAGAUUGGGUAAACAGAAAAAAAAAGGGCUAACCCCUUCAAGAUUGACACAAAAGCUUCGCGGUAAUAUUCCAAAAUUUGGAGAAAUACAAAACUCAUAGGUCAACAAAAAUCCUUCUCCUAAACAUGAUAUCUAUUAUAAACCUUUUUUCCAGUAAAAAAAUAAUAGAAUCAUAUAAUGGAUAUAUACAGAUGGUGAAUCCCAAUUAGCAUCUACAAAACAAACUUGUAGGAACACAACAGAGAUUUUUUAGAUCAAUAUAUUGAGAAAAUGACUUGACACUAAAAAAAAAAGGCUAAGAAGCUCUGAGAUUUGAUGUUUUGUUAACAGAGAUCCAUGAGGACAUAGAACAACAUAUUUAAAUAGUUAUUUUUUCUAUGAAUAAGAAAAAAAAUUACAUGAGUAACACCACACCAAUGCUUAUUUGAAUAAAGUGUCAUUCAUGGACAAAAACUAAAGAAACCAAUUGGGACUAGGGGGCAAGGCCAUGAUAUUAUCAAUUACGUUACACUAGGCAGGUUAUAAUUACCAUUGAGUGUAGAAUGAUAUAUUCACUUCUCAGCAACUCCAAUAUCUGAUAGUAUCAUAUUACCCUACAGGCAGAAUACAAACAACGAAUGAAAUGUGAGUUGCAACAAUCAGGCAAUCAAAAUCACAUUUUGAACAAUAUAGGAACCCAACAUCCAAACAAAAUAGUAUCAACAAGAAACUGCUAUUUCUUUCAUGAUACAAGGAAUUUUUGCCUCCAUAAAUUAAUUACUUCAUACGGAGUAAAAUUUAAGGGUACAACAGACACCACCGCCUCAUAAUUCAAGAACCAAACCAUCAAGAAGGCUAUGUUGAAAUCUAAUCACCACAUCCAAAUAGGUAUUUCUCUGGUCUCAACAAGUGACACAAGGAAAUUUUUGUAUCUAGUGAAUACCUUUGCCUACAUCUAGUACAAGGUUAUGUUUUUAUCUUGUAAACAUAUAUAUACAUCCAAACAUGUAUACACACACACGUGUAUGCACUCUGAAGUUCCCUAGAAAUUAUAAGUAGGUUUUGUAGGUACAUGGCUAUGACCAAUUCUUGUCCUAGCUUGUAGAUCUAGGUUAGCCCAAGGGUGUACCUUUUCCAAAUUUUCUCUUUAUGAUGUUGCUUUAUCCCUCUAGGUAUAUAUUGUUAAUGGCCACAACCUCAGCAAUCUUUUUCAUGUUUCCAUGCAUGGAUCAGUUUAAAAAGGAAAAACACAUGAUUUCCAGAGUUUGAACUUCCAUUAUUUUACUAUAGGUACAAGGUUAACAUUUUUUGUAUUCAUGCCCCAGUUUAGUCAUUUUCAUAUUGACAUGUGUUAAUGGUGUUUUCUUACAUUCUUAUUGAUGAAAUCCUCCCUUUCCAAGACCACAAUUCAUUCUAAGUUUAUCAAAAGACAUCAAGGCAUCAUAGAAAAUCAACAAUUCUAAUAUUGUAACAUCUCCAACAUUUGUAGAAAACACAAGAUUCCAUAUUUAAUCUCUAGAUUGUAAAUUAAGGUUCAAAACUCAAAAGCACAUUCAUAUAUACACAAACCUCACUAGCCAUAAGCUUUCGAACAUUAUUAGCAUAUAAUUUUCCCAUACAUUACAAAUGAGCUUAAUUUGAGAGUUAUACCUUGGCAAUGAGAGAACCUGCUUUGGGCAACAAUUCAAAUCAUGACAGAAUUUUUUGGUCUCCAUCUCAUCCUUGUAGCAACAUGUACCUUACUCAUGUCAUUCCUCUUGUGUGGAGCUACCAUUAUCUUACCAAUAACAUGCAAAGUAGACAACAAGACUGAACAAGAAAUUAAAAUUCCUGAAGUUUAGAAUCCUAUACUGUAAGGAGAAUGGAACUAUGAGUGUCCAAGUGUGGUUGCUUGUCAAGAGUUGAAAAUUUGGAUGAUUAUUUGGAGGUUCUAUUCAAAUUGUUGGGCAGAAUGAUUAGAGAAUGAAAAAUGAUUAAGAAAUUUGGACAACAAUAGAGCAAGUAAGAAAAAUUCAGAUCUGAAAUGAAGCAUGAAAUAGACUAAGAAUGAUAAUUAGUUCAUUUGUAGCCCUUGUAAGAAGAUAACUAAGUCUCCAAGUGUAUUAUUACUUUCCUUGUUCAAAAUGGUACACGAGAACUUGUUUCCCCAAAUCCAAAGCACAAUCUUCUUAGGUGUAAGUGGAUUUUUCACAUUAAGCAUUUACCUGAUGGUUCUGUUGACAAGUACAAAGCUCAUCUUGUCACUAAAAGAUUUCAGCAAUGACCGGGCAUUGAUUGUCAUGAUGUUUUCAGUCCUGUUGUCAAACCCACCAUUAUACAUCUUGUUCUUAGUAUUACAAUCAGCCAUGCUUGGUUUCUAUACUAACUUGAUGUUAAUAAUGCUUUUCUUCAAGGCCACUUGUUUGAAGAUGUUUUCAUGGCUUAACCAUUGGGAUUCAUUGAUUGUGAUCAUCCUAAUUAUGUGUGCAAACUUUAAAAAGCUAUCUAUGGUCUCAAGCAAGCACUACAUGCUUAGUAUCAUGAGCUCCACUAGUUUCUUCUCACCUCUAGCUUCACUAACUCUCAUACUUACACUUGACUAUUUGUCCUCAACACUAGUGGUGUCAUGGUUUAUCUCCUUGUUUAUGUUGAUAAUGUUAUCAUAACAAGUGACAGUGAUGGUGUUGUGUAAAAGUUCAUCCUAAUCUUGCCCAACAAUUCUCCCUUAAGGAUCUCGAGUCUCUUUCUUAUUUUCUUAGCAUUAAAGUCACACACCAUCGUCAUGGAUUAUUUCUUUCUCAACAUCAAUAUAUUGGCGAUCUCUUAGCUCACACUCACAUGUCAAAUGCUAAACCAAGCGCCACACCACUUACUACAUCUCCAACUCUUGAACUCUAUACCGGUACCGCCCUCUCUAAUCCAACAGAGUAUCAUACUAUUAUUGGCAAUAUUCAGUAUAUUUCUCACUCGACCUUAAAUCGCUUUUACAAUGAGUAAACCCUCACAAUUUAUGCAUCACCCUACUAGUGCUUAUUAAACUAUUGUCAGACACCUUUUUUGGUACCUUUGUGGCACAUAUGAUCAUGGUUUGGUUCUUUAUCGCAACUCUCCUUUUCUUUUCAUGCUAAAGAUAAUUUUACUUCUAUAAGUGCUUACAUCGUUUACAUUGGUCAUAAUCCUAUCUCAUGGAGUUCUAAGAAGUAAAGAAUUGUUGCACACUCUUCUAUUAAAGUGGAAUAUCGUUUUGUUGCAUAUACAUCUACAGAAUUACAUUGGGUAUGUUCACUUCUUAUUGAACUUAGUGCUUAUGUUCUACAAGUGUCUAUGAUCUAUUGCAAUAAUGUUGAUACUAUUCAUCUCAACUCCAAUACGAUCUUUCAUUCCUGCAUGAAACAUAUUGAAUUGGAUUAUCACUUUAUUCAUGAACAAGUUCAAAGUGAUGCUCUCUGUGUGGCUCAUGUUACUCNAAGAUCAGUUAGUUGAUGCUCUCACNAGCCUCUUCNNNNNNNNNNNNNNNNNNNNNNNNNNNNNNNNNNNNNNNNNNNNNNNNNNNNNNNNNNNNNNNNNNNNNNNNNNNNNNNNNNNNNNNNNNNNNNNNNNNNACACCACUUACUACAUCUCCAACUCUUGAACUCUAUACCGGUACCGCCCUCUCUAAUCCAACAGAGUAUCAUACUAUUAUUGGCAAUAUUCAGUAUAUUUCUCACUCGACCUUAAAUCGCUUUUACAAUGAGUAAACCCUCACAAUUUAUGCAUCACCCUACUAGUGCUUAUUAAACUAUUGUCAGACACCUUUUUUGGUACCUUUGUGGCACAUAUGAUCAUGGUUUGGUUCUUUAUCGCAACUCUCCUUUUCUUUUCAUGCUAAAGAUAAUUUUACUUCUAUAAGUGCUUACAUCGUUUACAUUGGUCAUAAUCCUAUCUCAUGGAGUUCUAAGAAGUAAAGAAUUGUUGCACACUCUUCUAUUAAAGUGGAAUAUCGUUUUGUUGCAUAUACAUCUACAGAAUUACAUUGGGUAUGUUCACUUCUUAUUGAACUUAGUGCUUAUGUUCUACAAGUGUCUAUGAUCUAUUGCAAUAAUGUUGAUACUAUUCAUCUCAACUCCAAUAUGAUCUUUCAUUCCUGCAUGAAACAUAUUGAAUUGGAUUAUCACUUUAUUCAUGAACAAGUUCAAAGUGAUGCUCUCUGUGUGGCUCAUGUUUACUCCAAAGAUCAAUUAGUUGAUGCGCUCACCAAGCCUCUUCCACAUGCAUGAUUUCUCACUCUUCAAGCCAAGAUUCAACGCUCCUCCUAGAGCCCCAUCUUGUGGAGGCAUAAUAGAGAAACUAAAUAAUUUAAAUAUUAGUUUAUCCUUAAUUUAACUAUUAAUAUUUAUCUAUUAAUUAUUAGUUUGAAUUAGAGUAAAAUAUAAAGUUUGAAUUAGAGUAGAAGUGUACUAUUAGUUUGAAUUAGAGUAGAAGAUAGAAUUUGAAUUAUAGUAAAAUUGAAAUGUAUUUAUAUAUAAAUAUUCCACAUUAUCAAUGAGAAUGUAAGUGUGGAUCCCGCAUUUCGACUCAUGUGUUUCCCACUCGAUGGCAAACUCGAUUUAUUAUUUGAAAAAUGAUUUUUAUUGUUUUAGAAAAAUGACUUGGAGUCACCACUUAUUUUUGUUUUAUUUUAAAGGGUAAACAAAAUAAGAAAGAAAAACUCUAAGUCCGACUCCUUAUUUUGGAAAAGAUGGUCUGUGAAAAACCGGAUUGGGUUUGGGGGUCAAGUUAUUAUUCGGAAAGGUACGGUAAAGACCGUAGCACCCCUCUAAGCCCCUAAAGUCGGGUCUCUACUAAUGAGAUGAAACAAUAAUGAUAAUGGAUGAGUAAAUCAACGAAUACCCGGAAUAAAUCAUGCACACGUGGGUAUCAGAACAUGCAUAGACACUGAUCAAAGUGAAAGUGGGUACAUACUUGGGUAACGAGCCACCAUGCGCUAUCAAGAGAGAGAGUUAGUGCACAAUUAAGGAAUGAUAGCAUGCAUGUCAGGGAGCAGGAUAAAUCAAUCAUGUAUGAUAAUCAAAUCAAUCAAUCAGUCAAUCAAUUAUAAAAUUAUUUAUGUGGGCCCCCACCAAUGCUCGAUUUAUUUUAGCAUGAAUUAAUUUCAUAAAUUCCAUUAAUUGGAAUUACAAAAUUAAAAUCUUGCUUAUUUUAAAACAAGGGGGAUGUAGAAAUUGUUUGCCAGAAGGAAAGAUGACAACAAAGUUUUACUAAAAAUGGGACUCUUGGGUGAUCCUAAAAAUUCUAAGGAUGAAAUAUGGAGAAAUUGGAAUUAUUUGAAAACCUGAAAUCGAGAAAGUAUUUACCAAAACGAGGUAUAGGGAAACUGCUUUCAAAAUCAAGGGAUGAUGAACUAGGUUGAUAGCUCAUGGCAUAAGAAAAGGAAAAAAAUUGCAUGCCAAAGGUGGCCAUGCAACUGGAAGCAUGCAGUGGUGAGCUUAGGGAGGAAUGAUGCUGGCAGAGAUGUGGGCUCCAUCUCUUGAAUCUGAUCUAUCAUCUUCUCUCCUUUGUCCAUGUCACUACCACUGUCACCAAACCAUAGGCCUUCUAAUCACGUGAUGACUCCACUGUAGACUGUUUGAUGCAUUCUUAUAUAAACUCUUAAAACACCUUUUGAGCUACAAUCAAUGGAGCCUCGUCUCGGCACAUACAUUUGAGUAUUAUUUCGGGAAUCUGAGUGAUAAACCCCUAAAUUUCAGCAUCCCCUGAGUCCUUGGUUAGCAAAGCUUCCAACUCCUGUGCAGCAAUUUGGUACUUAUCCAAUGCAUCUCCAAUAUUCAACAAGGGUUUAGAGAUGCACUCCACGGAUGUUCUGUGGUAAAAGCAGCAGGCAAUGAUAGUGCAGCAACUCCCAAUCCUUUUCCAACAUUAGAGGCCUCCAUUGGAUGAACUUCAAGGGUAGGAGCCAUUGACGAAAAUGAAACAGAGUUAAGUUUAGAGCCAUGAGGAGAAACACCAUCCAUCACUCCAAUGCGUGCAGAAGGGCCACUAAGGAAUUGGGCAGAACUGGGAUCCAUAUCCUCAAGAAUUAGAUCCAAGAGCUGAGUAGCACUCGAUCCAGUGGCCCCAGUCCCAGUAGAGUAGAAGCCUAGGCUAAGCUGUCUUGAUGAUGAAGCAUAAGCACGAGACAAACCAGAACUGCCAGGAGCCACCAGAUGCAGCAUGUGAUCCAGCAGGAACUGCAUUUGAGCUCUGUCCAGAUUGAUUUUGCCAGAGAAACCAAACGAAAUCCUCAUAAACCCGCUGUUGGGAAUGGGACAAAUGACCAGGUCUGGGGUGGAGGGCGUGGGUAUGAAGGUUAGUUGGGUUACCUGUGGUGGAUACGUGUGGAAAUGAGCAAGGGAUGAUGGUAUAACUAUGGGCUCGAUGAGUAUAUGGAAUAAGAAAUGGGUAUGGUUACUUAAUUGGGUGGGUAUGAGAGAUAUAGAUGGAUGAAGGUGAUGAGCAUGACGGCGGGAUAGGAUGAAGAAGAGUGUGAGAGGAGCGACAGAUGACCAUGCACGGGAGGAUUGACGUUAAAUAGAGAACGAGUGGCGAGAGAGAGGGAGAGACACGGGUUAGUGCUCUUACUCAAGGGUGGCAUGGGUGAUGGGAGCAGGGUGUUUGGGAUGGGUAAGGUAAGUUGUAGAUGAGCCCAAGACUGAGGGAAGUGGGUCGCUGCAGCAUUUGGAGAUGGUAGUAGCCAUCCCGUGCAUGAGUUUCUAGACUCGGAUAGGUAGCGCUCAUUGCUUGCAUCCUCUUUGGGAGAUGAUAGCGAUUUCAAGGCUGACGGGAUAUCAUUGGAAGCAUCAAGAGUCUCUUUCCAUGCUCCCAACAUCUGAUUCAUUGUAUCUUUGCAUUAUGAUUUCCACAGAAACCCCAACAUGUAACAGAGACAAGACGCAGAGGUAGAGAUCCUCAUAAAUGUAUGAGUCAAACAUAGCAGGCGUUCCAGCAGCUUUCUUGUCCUGUGGGCCAUGGCAUGGCAACCUCUUCCUCAUCCACAUGCUUAUCUUGAUUAUUUAUUAUAAGUGCCAUUGAUGGCUCAGCAGAUAAGUGCAAGGUGCACCAUUUCUUGGCCAAAGGAACGCCUAUACAGAAUAUGACUACGCUCGUCCAGAAGCCGGCGUGACUUUGGGUCAUAUGGGAUUUCCUUGUUGGUCUUGGAUCGGUUUCAUUGGAGGGUGCAACCAAGGGAAUCUUUGACGGCCUGGUUAGAUUAGGACCGCUGGAUAUGGAAGUUGAGAGAUGCGUAGAGACGGACGACGAAGGGAGGAUGAGAGGGUUUAGAAAGAAUGAGAAGGGCAAAUGUGGUGGUGAAGCAAGUUACGGGCAGUGGGUAUGGAGGAUGGGAAGGUGAUAGUGAGAGAAAAGGCAUGUGGGGGGUAUGAUCAAUGGGUUUAGAAAAUGGUUGUGAAGAAAUGAUGCAGUGGAUAUGACGAAGAAAUGAAAGUGUUAGAUUCGGCAUUUCAGGUGGGCAUCUGGAUAUGGAAAUGGGGUACUGGCUCACGAUGCUAGAGGUUGGUUGUAUACCAGAGCAAGGAUUCCAAAUUGCCUCAAUGCUGCCACUGUGCACGAAACCUAGCCGGAUAGCAAACACUGUAUACGUAUAUUUUCAAUGAUGGCUCACUGCAGCAAUAAUAUCCCAAUGCCAAUUAACUCUCAUACAACGAUUUUGGCAUAUAUUAAACAGAUCCUAACGCCCGUUCUACAAUCCUUGGAACGACGUGUUACAGCAUGCAAGAGAAAUGGGAGAUCCUGGGGGAAUAAACUGGCUAGCGAAGUCCAUGGGUCAUAUUGGACUUGCACUCAAUGUGAUUCAUUAACGGGGACUGUAAGACCAUGAAUCUUAUACACCCAAUACUUAUGGUAUCAAGUCGAGCCUGUCAUCCAUGGCGUUUCGACCCUGGCAGCUUAUUCAUAAAGUUCCACACUAUCUCAAACUUCCAGCGUUGCGUCCUUGUCAUUAUGCUUCCAAAAAACGGGAUAAAGUGCACGACUGCGCUAGAUCUCAUAUACGGAAUCGUCCUCAAGCAUGACCCAUCAUCGAAACGCCUUUCAAUUAUCUGAGAAAACUUGAUUAAUAUAUUCUGCGUUACCUUCAGCAACAUUAGCAAUCACAUUCAUUGUCUAGGAGGAUAACUAGUUGCUCUUCGUGGUGAGUUCGGUGUCGUUUGAGCUUCUCCAUCACAUCAAAGGAUAGCUAGCCAAAAGGGAAAUGAUACCAUAGAUGAUGAAGGAGUGGCACAGACAGAUGAAGCAGUCAAGAGGUAUCCUUAGAAGCCCUCUGCGGAUGACAUUUUAAGGGCUUUGUGAUACUCUGAAGCAUAGAUACUCAGUUAUGACCUCCAAUCCUGAUAUAGAACACUCAAAACAGGCUCAAUCUACUCAACAUGCUCUUCGGGCACUCCAUAGAAACUAAGCACCUGUAAUCGCAGCUCCCACUCCUUGGAUUUGCGUUCUCAGAUUGGAGAUGCACCAGUCAAAACACGUCGCGAACAGACACCAAAACAGAGAAAAAAUAGAGAGGAAAAUUGAUAGAACCAAACAAAGAUGGGUGAGAUGGGAGUUGGUUAAGCAAGACCUGGUCUCAUAAUUCAUCCACAGGCUUACCAACUAGUGGGGGAAGAAAUGGAUUUAAAGAGAAAUGAUAAGAAGAAGACCUUGAGAUACCACGCGGAUAAAACUGGUCCAGAUUCACAUCAUUUCUCUCAAAAUGAACCCAGAAAAAAAUAUAUGAACAUGUAGUCAUAGCGAAUCCAAUGAAAACAUAAAAAUCAACAAGAGCAACCACAUGAUAUCCACAUGCAAAUUGCUAAAUAACACCCAGCUAGGAAUAAAGGAGAGCAAAUAACAAAAGAAUAAUGGAGAUAAAUGAGUAGCAUACCUGGAAAAUGCUCUUUCGAGGUUCUAUCCUCUAAACUAUCAGAAGAAAACCUUAUCUACUCCUCCGUAGGUAUAGUAUCCGCUUCCCCCUCAACGAAACUUGCUCCUCAAGCUCUCUCCCUCUCUCUCUCAAGUCGCUCUCUGUUUUUUUCCUCACUCCCUGAAAAGAUACAAUGCUUCAGAAAACUCUCUCAAAAGCUCUUGGAGUCCUCCCCUUCUCAUUGUUCUUCCAAAAACCAACCAAAAGCCCUCUUGAAAAGAUCUUACUCUCCUCUCAAUAACUCUCAAGAAUGGCUGCCCAAAAGCACCUCCUCUAGCUCCCUCUCCUAGCUCCCGAAAACUCCCCCCUCCUAAUCACAGCCCAGCCUCCUCAAAAAGCCAUCUGCUCUCUGCCAACCUCGUCUUUUCUUUCUCUACCAGAUUUGCCCCUCUAACAAUAUCUCCAGAAACAACUACCUCCAAGCACCACUACUCUCCAGCCUCCCAUUUCUCUCUCAUACGCGUCUCAUAACGGCUGCAGAAUCCCCUUCCAGCAUAACGGCUUGUCGCUUCCUUUUCAGAAUCUUCUUUAUAGAUGUCGUAUCCUCAUUGGUCCUCCAAGCUACUAGCCUGGUUCCCUAGCAGCCAUCCACGAGUGGACAAGCGGUUCAUUGAGGGGCCUCCAUUUGGUAAGAAAGUGACCUACAGAAACGCUAAAAAGUGAGGCCCCAAAAUGGGGGUCUACAGUAAGGCAAUAAUUUCCAAAAUUCUCUUUAAUUAAUUAAAAAAAAAAUCAUUAGAAUUGAUGAUUUUUUAUCUUGACUUUACUAUACGACAAGAGUUUAAACAUUUCUAAUUCAAAUUUGAUGAUUUAAACAUUGUUAUUUCCAUUUUCAAUGAAGGAUUGAAUUAAUAUAAUUUAUGGAAUUUUAGUUUGUUAAGAAUCGGAUAGAUCAUGAGGGAAAAAUAAUGAGGUAUUGUAGACCCCCCUUUAGAGUGAUUUUAUUUUAUGAUUUUUCUUCUUCUGACCACCUGGGGAUUGAGGCUGAUGGGGGCGGUGAGAUUAGACGGAAUGCAGCGGAUAGCAGUGGAGCCGAGGAUGGCUUGCUGAGGAAGACACAAACAGAGGAAAAGAAAAAGAGAUAUCUGGGGGCUUUUCGGGAGAUGGUAAAGGGAGACAUACCGAGGAAACGAGCAGGAAAGUGGAAUAACUCAGGUAUGGAUUCUGAAAACCGGAUUCAUUAAUUAAUUAAUUUAUUUGUUUGUUUUUGAUGCCAUGUUAUGAUAGUUUCUAUGCAUGAGGAUUUUCAUUUUUGAUGUCUGAACAUGCAUAUUGUGGAUCCUUGUAAUUUAUUUAUUUUUUCUGGAAUCUGAGCUUACUUUCACCCACUCUGUGCUUGAUUCUUAAUUUCUCUUCUGAGCUCAUUGAUUGAUAUAUGGAGCGAGGCUGGUACGGGUCCAUUUUUCUCCUAUUAUUUGUGCUCUGUUUCGCUGUUUUCCCCUGUUCUUGAAAUGGGUAUUGGGGCCUGGAAACGCGGAAAUCUUAGAUAUUGUUCAUGUCAGCAAAGAGGGUGCAUUUCCCAUGCUCUCGACUUAUCAGAGAAGGAGUUUGUCCGAAGCAUUAUAUUGCCAUGGCGAGGGUGUUUACGCUGUUUCUCUUGGCUCUUCUUGCCAUUUCCAUGCUUCACACCAUUGUAUUAGCUUCGCAUGGCCAUGGCAGUCACCACUACGACCAAAAGAACUAUGGUCCGGGGAGUCUGAAGAGCUUCCAAUGCCCGUCACAGUGCUCGAAGAGGUGCAGCAAGACACAGCACUACAAACCUUGCACGUUCUUCUGUUAGAAGUGCUACCAAAAAAAGUGCCUGUGCAUUCCCCAGGGUAUUAUAGUAAUAAAGUCGUUUUCCCAGGCUACAACAAUUGAAGGCCAAGGAAGGAGGACCAAAAUGCCCCUGGUUGUUACCUUAUUUACCCUUCUCACCCAUUUUAAGUUGGCCCAUUUGCUUGCUUUAAUUUUUAAGUAAUUUUCAUGUUUCCAGCUUAAGUAAUUUAAUUUUUAAAGCCCUAAUUUCUUGGUAAAUCUUCUAAAUCCCAAUUUCUAAAUCCUAUUUUCAAAACUUACAUCUUCAAGCAAUCCUUCAAAAAUCCCAUGUCUUAAUUUAAUUUUUCAAUCCUAAAAACUAUAGAAUUCGUUUAAAUCUUAUUUUCAUCAAUUAGAAUUAUAAUCCCGUAUCUAUUUAGUUAUUUAAAGUUUAAUCCUUCAAAAAUUCCAUGUUUUAAUUUAAUCUUUUAAAUCCUAAAAACUCUACAAUUCAACUAAAUCUUAUUUUCAUUAAUUGGAAUUAUAUAAUUAUUUAAAGUCUAAUAUUUCAAAAAUUCCAUGUUUUAAUUUAAAUUUUCAAUCCUAGAAAUUCUACAAUUCGUUUAAAUUUCAUUUUCAUCAAUUAGAAUCAUCAUCCCAUAUUUAUUUAAAGUCCAAUCUUUCAAAAAUCUCAAUUUAACUUUCAACCUUAGAAAUUCUAUCAUUCGCCUAAAUGUUAUUUUCGUUAACUAGUAUUCUUAUCUCCUAUCUUUUUAUUCAUUUAAGGUCCAACUCUUCAAAAAUUCAACGUCCUAAUUUAAUUUUCAAUCUUAAAAUUCCACUACUCCUUUUCUAUUCGUUUAAAAUAUUGUUUCCGUUAAGUAGCAUUAUUAUUCCAUAUUAUCUAUUUAUUCUAAUCGUUAAAAUUUAAUUCAUCAGAAUCCGACUUCCAAAUCUAAUUCUCAAUCUCAAAAACUCCACCGUCCAUAUAUCACUGUUUAAUGAUUAUUUUCGUUAUUAUUAUUAUCCUAUUCAUUUAUUUAUUUACUUAUUCAUAUAUUUAAAAUCUCAUCUCCAAAUAAUUUCUCAAAAUUUCAAUCUCUAAAUUCAAAUCUCCAAUCUCUAAAAUUCUAUUUUUCGCAAUUAUUUACCUAAUCUUUAUAAUUUCACCAUUAUUAUUAUUCCAUUCAUUUAUUUAUUCACUCAUUCAUUUAUUAAAAUUUUGUCUUUAAAUAAUUCUUCAAAAUCCCGAUUCCCAAAUUUAGUUCUCCGAAAUUCCAAUUCCUUUCAAAUUUAAUUUCUAAAAUUCUCAUUCUUGUAUUUAAUUUCAAAAUUCCAAUUUUCAAAUAAACUUUAAAACUCCAAUUUUCUAGUGAUCUUCGAGAUUCUAAUUUUUCAAUUAAAUUUCAAAAAUCUAAUUUUCUCUCAAAUAGCUUUAAUUCCGCUCUGGUUUUCAAAUGAUCUUCUGCUCCUCUUGGUUUUACAUAAGCAAGAAUAAUGAAUUUUCAUAAUUCCAAAAUAAUGGAAUUUGUGAGAUCAAUUCAUGCAAGAUCAAUCGGGCUUUGGUGGGGGCCCAACAUACGUGAUUUCCUUAUGAUUGAUUGAUUGUUUGUUUGAUUUAAUUGCCAUACAUGAUCGAUUUUAUUCUGCUCUAUGACAUGCUCGAAAUUAUUCCUUAAUUGUGCGCUAACCUCACUUCUUGAUAGCGCUUUAUGGAUCACUGCCCAAGUAUGCAUCCACACUCGCUCGGGUCAUUUUCUGUAUGCAUGUUUAGAUUCUCACAUGUGCAUGAUCACUUUGAGUAUUCAUUGAUUCCCUCAUCAAUUGUCAUGAUUGCUUCAUUUUAUUAGUAGAGACCCGACUUUAGAGACUUAAAGGGGUGCUACGGUCUUUACCGUACCUUCCCGAUAAGUAACCUGACCCCCGAACCCGAUCCGGUUUUUCACAGACCGCCUUUUCCAAAAUAAGGAGUCACACUUAGGGUUUUUCUUUCUUAUUUUGUUUACCCUUUCAAAAAUAAAACAAAAAUAAGUGGCGACUCCAAGUCAGUUUUUUUUUAAUCAAAUAAAAAAAUCAAUUUUUCAAAUAAAAAUCGAGCUCGCCAUCGAGUGGGAAACGCAUGAGCUCGAAAUGCGGGGUCCACAGGUAUGCAAUAGAAGAAUUAUGGUUUCAAUUUUGAAAUUUUUUGGAUUGAUUUUAGAUUAAUUUCUUAUUCAAAUUAAAUUAUUUGUAUAUUGUCUUGUUUUAUUUUUAAGUAAUAAUCCAUCAAAAAUAAAUAAAUAUCUAAAUUUUCUUAAGAAAUUGAAAAAAAAAAUGAAAAGAGAACCUAUUUGAAUCAUAUGAUUCAUAUUAUUUUUUCUUAAUAACAUAUUUACUAAUUUACAUAAAGUUGUCCAUAAUUUUCAAAAAUAGAUUUAAUCUUGUUAUAAGUAAUCAACAACUAUCUUUUUGUCAAAAACAAUUACCAAAUAUGGUUCUAAGUUUGAAAAUUUGUUUUCAAAAACAAUCCUCAAGCAAAUUCUUAGGUCCAUUUGGCUAUGUUUUUUAAAACUUGUUUUUAAAAUAGCAAACAAAAACAGUUUUUUUUUUUUAAUUUUUAAAAAGCAAGAGCAUUUGGCAAAUGCAUUUCAUAAAAAACUUGUUUGAAUGAAAGAAUUUGUAUUGUUUUUAAAGACAAUGUCUUACUUUUAUUGUAUAAGAAUUUUAUAAAUUUAGUUUAUAUUAAUGUAAAAUCAAAUUCAAGUUACGUUUCAUUUAAAAAAAAUAAAAAAUAAAUUUACAACUAUAUAUAAGUUAAAGAUAAAUAAUUUUUUUUAAUUAUGAAAUAAUUUUUUUAUUCUAGUGAAACAAAAAUUACUAUUUUAGUAUUUAUUUUUAAUACAAAUCAAAUAUGUCCUUUAAUUUUAUUUUUUUUCCAUUUGGCCAUGAUUUUUUAAAAAUUGUUUUUUAAGUUAAAGAACAUAAAACAAUUUUUUAAUGUUUUAUAAAAUAAGGUAUUUGUCAAGUUGUUUAUAAAAAAAAUGCUUUAAAAAUAAAAAUAAAACCAAUUUGUUUGGAUAAGUUGUUUUUAAAAAUAAAUUUUCUAUUUUGAUUUUAUAAAAAUAUUAUAAAUUCAAUUUAUAUAACAUUAAUUAAAUUUAAUUGAAGUCUUAUUGAAAAUAAAAAUAAUUUUGUAUUACAAAGAAAUUCAAAAGAAAUAUUUUUUAGUAAAACAUGAAUAGUAUAUAUUAUAAUAAAAUCAUCAAUUAUAUUUUUAAUAAAAAAUAUACUAUUUUAUUAUAUGUUAGAAACAUAAGAAUAUUAACAUAUUUUUGUAAAAAAAAAUGUGCCGUAAAAAUAAAUAAUAAUAAUUUAAAAAUAAUAAUUGUCAAUAGUAUUUUAUUUAAAAUGAAUAAUGAAUAAAGUUUAACUUUUUAACAUGUGAGUCAAGUUUUAUUACAUGCAUACAUUUAGUACUCAAUUUCUACAAUUAAUUGGAUCAAUUUUUUUAUUGCAAAUUAUUCUUAAAAGUUAAAGGAUUUGUUAAAAAAAUUAAAUUAUUAAUUAUGUUUUACUUAAUUUAUAAUUUAUUUACCUAGGAAAAAAAAAUUUUAAAUAGUUGUAUGUAUAGAAGAAAUAUUAAAGUCAUGACUCAUUAUACAUCAAUUUUAUUCUUCCUUUUUUUUUUUUUUUGCUUUGAUGACUAAAUGAUCUAUUUUUGAGUUCCAAACUAAGCACCUGUAAUCGCAGCUCCCGCUCCUUGGAUUUGCGUUCUCAGAUUGGAGAUGCACCAGUCAAAACACACCGCGAACAGACACCAAAACAGAGAAAAAAUAGAGAGGAAAAUUGAUAGAACCAAACAAAGAUGGGUGAGAUGGGAGUUGGUUAAGCAAGACCUGGUCUCAUAAUUCAUCCACAGGCUUACCAACUAGUGGGGGAAGAAAUGGAUUUAAAGAGAAAUGAUAAGAAGAAGACCUUGAGAUACCACGCGGACAAAACUGGUCCAGAUUCACAUCAUUUCUCUCAAAAUGAACCCAGAAAAAAAUAUAUGAACAUGUAGUCAUAGCGAAUCCAAUGAAAACAUAGAAAUCAACAAGAGCAACCACAUGAUAUCCACACGCAAACUGCUAAAUAACACCCAGCUAGGAACAGAGGGGAGCGAAUAACAGAAGAAUAAUGGAGAUAAAUGAGUAGCAUACCUGGAAAAUGCUCUUUCGAGGUUCUAUCCUCUAAACUAGCAGAAGAAAACCUUAUCUACUCCUCCGUAGGUACAGCACCCCCUCAACGAAACUUGCCUCUCAAGCUCUCUCCCUCUCUCUCUCAAGUCGCUCUCUGUUGUUUUCCUCACUCCCUGAAAAGAUACAAUGCUUCAGAAAACUCUCUCAAAAGCUCUUGGAGUCCUCCCCCCCCCUCCCCCUUCUCACUGUUCUUCCAAAAACCAACCAAAAGCCCUCUUGAAAAGAUCUUACUCUCCUCUCAAUAACUCUCCAGAAUGGCCGCCCAAAAGCACCUCCUCUAGCUCCCUCUCCUAGCUCCCGAAAACUCCCCCCUCCUAAUCACAGCCCAGCCUCCCCAAAAAGCCAUCUGCUCUCUGCCAACCUCGUCUUUUCUUUCUCUACCAGAUUUGCCCCUCUAACAAUAUCUCCAGAAACAGCUACCUCCAAGCACCACUACUCUGCAGCCUCCCCUUUCUCUCUCAUACGCGUCUCAUAACGGCCUGCAGAAUCCCCUUCCAGCAUAACGGCUUGUAGCUUCCUUUUCAGAAUCUUCUUUACAGAUGUCGUAUCCUCAUUGGUCCUCCAAGCUACUAGCCUGAUUCCCUAGCAGCCAUCCACGAGUCGACAAGUGGCUCAUUAAGGGGCCUCCAUCUGGUAAGAAAGUGACCUACAGAAACGCUAAAAAGUGAGGGCCCAAAAUGGGGGUCCACAGUAAGGCAAUAAUUUCCAAAAUUCUCUUUAAUUAAUUAAAAAAAAAAUCAUUAGAAUUGAUGAUUUUUUAUCUUCACUUUACUAUACGACAAGAGUUUAAACAUUUCUAAUUCAAAUUUGAUGAUUUAAACAUUGUUAUUUCCAUUUUCAAUGAAGGAUUGAAUUAAUAUAAUUUAUGGAAUUUUAGUUUGUUAAGAACCGGAUAGAUUAUGAGGGAAAAAUAAUGAGGUAUGCAAUAGAAGAAUUAUGGUUUCAUUUUUGAAAUUUUUUGGAUUGAUUUUAGAUUAAUUUCUUAUUCAAAUUAAAUUAUUUGUAUAUUGUCUUGUUUUAUUCUUAAGUAAUAAUCCAUCAAAAAUAAAUAAAUAUCUAAAUUUUCUUAAGAAAUUGAAAAAAAAAAAAAACAUGAAAAGAGAACCUAUUUGAAUCAUAUGAUUCAUAUUAUUUUUUCUUAAUAACAUAUUUACUAAUUUACAUAAAGUUGUCCAUAAUUUUCAAAAAUAGAUUUAAUUUUGUUAUAAGUUAUCAACAACUAUCUUUUUGUCAAAAACAAUUACCAAAUAUGGUUCUAAGUUUGAAAAUUUGUUUUCAAAAACAACCCUCAAGCAAAUUCUUAGGUCCAUUUGGCUAUGUUUUUUAAAACUUGUUUGAAUGAAAGAAUUUGUAUUAUUUUUAAAGACAAUGUCUUACUUUUAUUGUAUAAGAAUUUUAUAAAUUUAGUUUAUAUUAAUGUAAAAUCAAAUUCAAGUUAAGUUUCAUUUAAAAAAAAUAAAAAUUAAAUUUACAACUAUAUAUAAGUUAAAGAUAAAUAAUUUUUUUUAAUUAUGAAAUAAUUUUUUUAUUCUAGUGAAACAAAAAUUACUAUUUUAGUAUUUAUUUUUAAUACAAAUCAAAUAUGUCCUUUAAUUUUAUUUUUUUUCCAUUUGGCCAUGAUUUUUUAAAAAUUGUUUUUUAAGUUAAAGAACAUAAAACAAUUUUUUAAUGUUUUAUAAAAUAAGGUAUUUGUCAAGUUGUUUAUAAAAAAAAUACUUUAAAAAUAAAAAUAAAACCAAUUUGUUUGGAUAAGUUGUUUUUAAAAAUAAAUUUUCUAUUUUGAUUUUAUAAAAAUAUUAUAAAUUCAAUUUAUAUAACAUUAAUUAAAUUUAAUUGAAGUCUUAUCGAAAAUAAAAUUAAUUUUGUAUUACAAAGAAAUUCAAAAGAAAUAUUUUUUAGUAAAACAUGAAUAGCAUAUAUUAUAAUAAAAUCAUCAAUUAUAUUUUUAAUAAAAAAUAUACUAUUUUAUUAUAUGUUAGAAACAUAAGAAUAUUAACAUAUUUUUGUAAAAAAAAAAAAAUUUUUGCUGUAAAAAUAAAUAAUAAUAAUUUAAAAAUAAUAAUUGUCAAUAGUAUUUUAUUUAAAAUGAAUAAUGAAUAAAGUUUAACUUUUUAACAUGUAAAUGAGUCAAGUUUUAUUACAUGCAUACAUUUAGUACUCAAUUUCUACAAUUAAUUGGAUCAAAUUUUUUUAUUGCAAAUUAUUCUUAAAAGUUAAAGGAUUUGUUAAAAAAAUUAAAUUAUUAAUUAUGUUUUACUUAAUUUAUAAUUUAUUUACCUAGUAAAAAUUUUUUUUAAAUAGUUGUACGUAUAGAAGAAAUAUUAAAGUCAUGACUCAUUAUACAUCAAUUUUAUUCUUUUUUUUUUUUUUUGCUUUGAUGACUAAAUGAUCUAUUUUUGAGUUCCAAAUUAUUUUUAAAAAAAAUUAAAUUCAAUAAAAACUAUCACUUGAUUUGAAGUUUAUUUUUCUAGUGGAAAAAUUUAUAAAAAUAUAGUUAUGUGUAGAAAAGAAAUAAUAGAGUCAUUAUAAACUAAUUUUUAUCCAUGAAAUUAUGGUAUUAAUAAAGUAUUGUUAAUAAAUCCAACCUAUUAAAUUUUAUUUAAUUUUAAGUUCAUUUACUUAGUGAAAAAAAAAAAAUCAUAACAUAAUGAUUCUAUAUAGAAGAGAAAUAUUAAAGUUGUCUUAAAUUAAUUUUUAUUCAUAAUAGAAGAGAAAUAUUAGAGUUCUUAUAAAUUAAUUUUUAUUCAUAACAUUCUAAUAUUAAUUGGGUCACUAUUUAAGUUUUAAAUUAUUUUUAAAAUUUUCUAAAUUCAUUAAUGAAUUUAACACAUUAAGUGUUGUUUAAUUUGGAAUUCAUUUAUCUAAUGAAAAAAAUCAAAAAUAAUAAUUCUAUAUAAAAGAAAAAUAAUAGUUAUUUUAAACUCAUUUUAUUGGUAAAUUUUUUAUAUUAAUUGAAUCAGUAUUUAAGUUUUAAGUUGUUAUAUAUAGUUACUAUCUAUUUCACUUUAUUUUUAAAAAAUUAAAAAUAGAAAAACAAUAUCAAUGUUAUGAAUUUUUAAAAAUUAUUUUCUAUUUUUAAAUCACUCGUCAGAUGGGCUCUUAUUUUCUUAUAAAUUACCAUAUUGAAUUUUUGGGGCUUGACAUGGUAACUAGAAGAAGCCAACCAAAAUUAAAUUUGCAACCCCUCCUAAAAUAUUAAUCCAACAAUACUCAAAAAUCAUUUUUGGUCAGCUCUCCCUCUUUUAUGAGCUUGAAGCCUUCCACAACAUCAUUUCUCUCAAACUAGCCAUUGGGGAAGACCGUGAUAACUCUCUCUCUUCCCUCUCCCGCCCAACCCCUCCCCUCCUUCCACCUUCUUUCAAAACCCUAAGCCCUCCCCGCCAAAACAUUAUCCCCAACCCGCAUUCUCACAAAAACCCCAACUUCGAGCCCCUCAAGAACCGUCAGAUCCGCCAACUCGACGUGGGCCACCUCAACCAUGCACUCUCCUCCCUUGAUCUCAUGACCCUGCAAAACGCCCCACCAGACCUCACCACCUACUCCAUCCUCCUCAAGUCCUGCAUCCGAUUCCGCAACUUCCAACUCCGGAAACUCGUCCACCGGAAGCUAAUUCAGUCUGGACUUGAGCUCGACUCGGUUGUGUUGAACACUCUGAUCAGCUUGUACUCCAAAUGUGGCGACACCGCAACCGCUAGGUUGAUUUUUGAGGGAAUGGAAAAUAAGAGACUUGGUUUCAUGGAGUGCGAUGGUCUCAUGUUUUGCGAUUAACAGCAUGGAGUUGCAAGCAAUUUGGACAUUUUUUUUAUUUUCUCGAAUUGGGUUUUUACCCAAAUGAGUAUUGCUUUGUGGUCAUGAUUCGGGCUUGUUCAAUGAGUUGGGGAGAUAAUUUAUGGGUUUGUGGUGAAAACCGGGUAUUUUGAGGCUGAUGUGUGUGUUGGGUGUGAAUUGAUUGAUGUGUUCGUGAAGGGUAGUGGUGACUUGGGCUCAGGUUAUAAGGUGUUCGAGAAAAUGCCAGAGAGAAAUUUGGGUACUUGGACUUUGAUGAUAACUAGAUUUGCGCAAUUUGGUUGUGCCAGAGAUGCGAUUGAAUUGUUUUUGGAUAUGGAAUUGAGUGGUCAUGCACUGGAUCGGUUUACAUAUGGUAGUGUCCUUUCUGCUAGUACAGUGUCAGGAUUGUUAGCACUAGGGAAGCAAUUGCAUUCCCAAGUUAUACGUUUGGGAUUGGCUUCAGAUGUUUGUGUUGGUUGUAGCUUGGUGGACAUGUAUGCAAAGUGUACAGCAGAUGGGUCCGUGGAUGAUUUGAGGAAGGUAUUUGAUCGGAUGCCUGAGCAUAAUGUUAUGUCUUGGACCGCAAUUAUCACAGCAUAUGUGCAAAUUGGAGAGUGUGAUAAGGAAGCUAUUGAACUUUUCUGCAAGAUGAUAUCUGGCCGUGUACAGCCUAAUCAUUUCUCAUUUUCAAGUGUUCUCAAGGCAUGUGGAAACCUUUCUGAUCCUUAUAAACAUGCUUUAAGGGAAAUGGAGAAAUUUAUUAGAUAAUUCAAGGUGAAUACAGAAGACUACCCUCGGUCCAAGGGUGCCAAGGAACUGCCUCUGGCUAAAACAUUACCUUGGUACAUAUAUGGAUCUUACAGAAGCACUAACCCUUGCAUCUAAACCAAUCAACCACAAAGUAUUACAGGACAGAGAAUGAGAGUAGCUAUUGCGAGGCACUACCUUCCCUCCAAGCUGAUCGUCAUUGUCGCAUUUCGUGAAGAAAUUGGUACCCCAACUGGAUUGUUCAUAUGAUCCUCAACUGACAUCUCCCUGGAGUAUAGAGUAGGCCUGGGGGGCAUUUGCAGGAGUUCAACUUCACCUUCUAGCAUCUCCAAUGCCUUGCUCAUUGAAGGACGAUCCGUGGGAUUCAUCUGUACACACCAUAAUGCAACUAUGACUAUCUUCCGUAUAUACUUGUGUUCGUCCUCAGUGGCAUCUCCAAUUUCCAUGUCUUCUCCUUGAUCUAUUCGAUCAUAAAUCCAUGACGGGAAGUAUGUUUGGCUUUGCUCUAGACAUGUAUUUGCAUGCUUCCUUUUUUCCCACCAUUUCCAUUAAUAACAUUCCAAAACUAUACACAUCAGCUUUAUAUGAAACACCUCCAAUGUUCUUGUAGAAUAAUUCUGGAGCAAUAUAUCCUAAUGUUCCUCGAGCAGUAGUUAGAGACACAAUGCUUUCUUCUAUUGAAUGUAAUUUUGCAAGGCCAAAAUCAGAAACUUUGGGGAUAAAGUUUGCAUCAAGAAGAAUGUUGUGCGGCUUGAUAUCAAAAUGCAGAAUUUGCAUGUCACAACCUUGAUGUAAGUAUUCAAUCCCACAACCCACACCUAGUGCAAUCUUAUAUAAUCUUUCCCAACUCAGAAGAAUGUUGUUUUCAAGUUUAGAAAAAAGAAACUUAUCAAGGGACCCAUUAGGCAUAUAUUCAUAUACCAGAGCCCAUUUUAAUCCCUCUGCACAAAAUCCACAGUCGCACUAACAUUAACAUGGUGAAUCCUUCCAAUUGUGGCUACUNNNNNNNNNNNNNNNNNNNNNNNNNNNNNNNNNNNNNNNNNNNNNNNNNNNNNNNNNNNNNNNNNNNNNNNNNNNNNNNNNNNNNNNNNNNNNNNNNNNNAAGGGAAAUGGAGAAAUUUAUUAGAUAAUUCAAGGUGAAUACAGAAGACUACCCUCGGUCCAAGGGUGCCAAGGAACUGCCUCUGGCUAAAACAUUACCUUGGUACAUAUAUGGAUCUUACAGAAGCACUAACCCUUGCAUCUAAACCAAUCAACCACAAAGUAUUACAGGACAGAGAAUGAGAGUAGCUAUUGCGAGGCACUACCUUCCCUCCAAGCUGAUCAUCAUUGUCGCAUUUCGUGAAGAAAUUGGUACCCCAACUGGAUUGUUCAUAUGAUCCUCAACUGACAUCUCCCUGGAGUAUAGAGUAGGCCUGGGGGGCAUUUGCAGGAGUUCAACUUCACCUUCUAGCAUCUCCAAUGCCUUGCUCAUUGAAGGACGAUCCGUGGGAUUCAUCUGUACACACCAUAAUGCAACUAUGACUAUCUUUCUUAUAUACUUGUGUUCGUCCUCAGUGGCAUCUCCAAUUUCCAUGUCUUCUCCUUGAUCUAUUCGAUCAUAAAUCCAUGACGGGAAGUAUGUUUGGCUUUGCUCUAGACAUGUAUUUGCAUGCUUCCUUUUUCCCACCAUUUCCAUUAAUAACAUUCCAAAACUAUACACAUCAGCUUUAUAUGAAACACCUCCAAUGUUCUUGUAGAAUAACUCUGGAGCAAUAUAUCCUAAUGUUCCUCAAGCAGCAGUUAGAGACACAAUGCUUUCUUCUAUUGAAUGUAAUUUUGCAAGGCCAAAAUCAGAAACUUUUGGGAGAAAGUUUGCAUCAAGAAGAAUGUUGUGUGGCUUGAUAUCAAAAUGCAGAAUUUGCAUGUCACAACCUUGAUGUAAGCAAUGAUGAAAAUAUCGGUAAUCACGGAUAUAUCGGUAACUUGAUUUUACGGAUAUAUCGGAGAAAUAUCGACGGAUAUUUUGGAAAAAAAAUUUUGAUAGGUAAAAAAUUGAUUAAAAUUCAUAAAAAUGUAAAAAAAACCUCAUAACAAUAUAAUUAGAAGUAUAAUAGAUAAUUUAAAUUUAUUUUGUUGAAUAAUUUGAUAUAUAUAUUAUAUGAUUUGCGAUAUUAUAUGUAAUUAUAUUAUGUGGGUUAAUAAAAAAUAUGAAUUUUGUAAUUACGCAUUCAUUAUCAAGUUUCAUACAAAAUUUGAUUUUAUUAAAUAUAAAUAAUUUAUAUAUAUUAACUUGAUUUCAUUAAAUACCAAUAAUUUGUAUAUAUUAUCACAUAGAUGUUGGGGCUCACUUUGGAUCGUUCGAUCACAUUUUGGACCAUCACCAUCGAGUCAUGAUUUGUUUCCAUUUUUUUUUUUUUAUCUCUACUAAAUUUUUAAAAAAUCAAAAGGCCACCCAUCCGAAAAGCCUUUUGCUGAAGACCCGCUUCUCUCACUCAGGCAUCAAAAAGCCCUUGACUGAAGCUGCCCUCCGGACGAGAGAAUCGGCCCCAAUUUGCUCUUUCACUCUCAAUCCUCGCAGGUUCUAAUUGAAUCAUUUAUUACCUUUUUUUUUUUGCAACCCCUGUUUGAUUCCCAAGAAAAUCCAUCCCCCAUUCAAUUUCCGGGAAAAUCCAUCCCCCAUUCGAUUUCCGGGAAAAUUCAUCCUCGUUUGAUUUCCGAGAAAAUUCAUCCUCGUUUGAUUUCCGAGAAAAUCCGUGCAAAACCCUCAAGGAAAACCAAAAAAAUUGCUUUUUUUUUUUUCUCCCUGUGUUUUCUGAUCUGUUCUAGGGUCGCUUUGCUUUUGUGCCAUUGGAUUUAAAUUUCACGAACCCUAAAUCCGUGAUUUUUGAGCCAGGCUGAAAAACAACCUUUGCCUGCAAGUCAUGAUCAAAUUACUAGUCAAUUUCAUAAUCAUUUCAUAAUUAGAGUGAAAAAAUAUUUUUCUUUUCUAUUAUUAUUUAUGAAUGUGUAGUUAGCAAAUGUUGUAAUGAAUGGUUCAUGAUGAAUGGGAUUUUUGUACAAUAAACUAUUUUUUAGGCUCACUUUUGAAUUAAGGCCAUACUUAUCUUUUAACAUAAGUCUUAAAAUGUAAUAAAAUAUUUAAUAAAAUUACGUUCUAUUUAGGCUUAAGUCAAAUUAUAAUUUAUUUAGUUUUAAGAUAAAUUAAACAAAUCUCAUUCAAAAAUUUAAGGCUUACAACAUCAAUUUUCCUUUUUUUUCCACUAAUUUUCCUAUUCAGUAAUGAGAUGCUCUAAAGAGCUUAUUGUUUUCUUAUUAUUAAGAGAAAAAUCAUUAAAAAAAGAAAACUAAUCAUACAAUUUACGAGGAAAUUAAUAAAAAUUAAAAUUAGAAUUUGGACAACCUUACAUUAAUUAACUAAAGGCAUCCUUUUCCAAAUUGGGAAAUGCAAGGAAUACCAAGAUUGGUUCACUAUUAAAAGCAAAUUCCAUGAAGGUAACUAGAAUGCUAAUUGAAACUCACAAAAAUAGAAUAAUUUAAAGUCACUUUAUCUAAAUUACUCUAAAGGUAGGCAUGAAGAGAAAGAUAUACAAUUACAAACAAAAAAGUGAUCUCUCAUGAGUCCAAGUUACAAUCCCUUGCCUAAAAAAUGAUACAUGCAUCAAUUUCUUUCCUCAUGGGGCCUUAGGGACAUAGGAGACUGAACUAGUCAAGUUUGAGAGGCUAAAUGCCAACUGACAGUCAUUGUCAUAAUUAGUAUCCAAAAAAUAUGAUAAGAUUCAUAACACAAUGACUGAGAUAUUCCAUGGAGAUGACAACAUGUUGCUAAAAGAAUUGAUUGGUACCUAAUAUUCCAUGGAAAAAGUUGUAUAAAUAAGAUAGAACCCGUUAAACUAGCUUGGAGGUUUAGAAAUUCAUAAAAAUUAGUUAUAUUAUGAACUAGCUUGGUGGCUUUAAUGUCAAUCAAGCAAGACAAAUCCAAAAAUUCAAUUAAUUUAUCCUCUUCCUAAAAUUCAUAAUUGAGAGGUUCAUGGGUUCUUCCUUUUAUCUCAUCCAGCUCAUUGGAUAUUUCAGGAAGGCAAAGGAAUCAAGUCCCUCCAAGUGCAAGGACAAAUCUCCAUUUAGUACCAAGAAAAUGAACUCAAUGAGUACCCCUAUAUACAAUGGGCCACACAAAUUGAAAAUAGACCCCAUAUACAAUAGACCACAUAAAGAAUAAAUCAUAGUGAUACAAUGGUCACACAUAUAUAAUGGACUAUAUAGUUGUAUGAACCACACAAAUUGAAAAUAGACCCUAUAUAUGAUGGACCACAUAAAGAAAGAAACAUAGUGAGAAAUUGGUCGCAUACAUACAAUGGACUAUAUGGUCCACGACCAUUAGUGAGAAAUAGUCGAUUAUAAAAAUUCAUAGACUUCUUGAAAUGAUGAUGCUUAUGGGGAUGAUUUAAAAAUUUUAAAGUCUUUUUUUUUAAAAAAAAAAAAAUAGACACAUAGCAAUAGGUUUCACAUGAUUCAACAAUGUAGUUAUAUCCAUCGUUGAGUUAGGAAACUUUUUAAUAACAAAUCCCAACUCCCAAAGAACUAAUGUAAGUGGUUUUCGAUAAGGAAAUAUGUACUUUCAACUAACACACUGAAGGUUUAUUUGCAAAUAUUUUUAAAAUUAGUUUUUAUUUUUUAAAACAAAAAUAAUUUUCCAACCUCAAAAAUACAUCUAACAGAUUUUAGAAUAAAAAUAUCAUGAAAACAGAGUGAUUGGAGGUUUUUUUUUUUUUUUUUUUUCAUUUUGCAUGGUAAAUUACAUUCACCUAUAACUAAUAAAGAAAACCAUAUUUUAGAAUUUCAAAUAGAAUUUUAUUCCUAAAAAUGAUAUAAAAUUGUUUUUACAAAUUGUUCUCAAAAAAUUAUUUUUCAAAUUUUUUUUUGAAAAUAUUAUCCACCAUGCCUCAAAUUUUCUUACGAGAACCUAAUCUUGCAAUUUCUUAGAUCUAAUUUGCAAGAUGCAAAAGAAUGCUGCGAGAUCUUCGCAAGUAACAAGGCAACAAAUGACAUGAGAACAAGUCCUCCUAGCUACCUUAAUAGUACUAAGCUUUUCCCAAGAAAGCAAGACAUAAUGACUAACGUUAUUUGCUUGAGGCUAGUUUUUUAAUAAGCUCCCUUAUAGUUGCUUACCUAACCUCAAAGCCUACUCUCUUUGGAGAACAAGAGUCUUCCACAUUUUUUAUUUUUUGAGAUCCAUCUGCAAACUUUAAUGGAAGAUCUCAAUUAGUGCAAGGAAAGAAACAAUUAAUAAAGGUGGAGCCUCAAAAGCAACCUAUUUUAUUAAACUAUAGCAUAAAUAACGAGAUUACAUUAUCACCAUUUAUUACAACAUGAUUAUUACCCAAAUUAAACACUCAUAAUAGACAACUUCUUAUUCUAUUUCUGAUAUGAUUGUCAACUCUGGUUGGAUAGAUGUUUUACGUCUUCUAACACUUGUCCUUGUUUGUCCCAUAGAGGUAAAAGGAUUAGGAGGCAUAACUAAAUUGCCUUCUUCUCCUUCCAACAUUCCAACCACAAUUUUCAUGGAAGGACGAUCUAUUGGAUACCAUUGGAUACACCAAAGCCCUAUGAUGCUUAGUUUCUUUGCUAUUUUAAUAUCACUUUCGUCCUCAAUUCGGAUGUGUACCUCUUGCUCUUGAUCCAAAUGAUUAUAGAGCCAUUCUGGGAAGUAUGCUUGACUAGUAUUUUCUACUGUAGCAUCAAUAUUCUUCCUUCCCCCUACCAUUUCAAUCAACAACAUACCAAAACUAUAAACAUCUGACUUAGAAGACACAUUCCCAAAAUUUCUUGAUAACAUUUCUGGUGCAAUAUAACCCAUGGUCCCUCUUGCUGCUGUCAUAGAUACUGCACUUUGCUCCUUAGAGCAUAAUUUGGCUAAACCAAAAUCAGAAAUCUUCGGAUUAAAGUUAUGAUCAAGCAAAAUAUUAUGAGGUUUGAUAUCCAAAUGAAGGAUUCUUUGAUCACAACCUUGGUGAAGAUACUCAAUACCUUUAGCUAUGCCAACAACAAUAUCUUGAAGUUUAUGCCAACCUAGAGAAUAAUUAUUGCCAAAUGCUGAAAAUAUGAACUUGUCUAGUGACUCAUUUGGUAAAAAUUCAUAAAUCAAAGCUCGCUUAUAUCCAUCUGCACAAAACCCGAGCAACCGAACCACGUUAACAUGAUGUAUGGUACUCAUUGUUCCUACUUCAUUAAUGAAAUCUUCCCCGUUUCCUUUGAAAUCAUCAAGGAUCUUUACUGCAACAAAAACUUCAUUUGAGAGCUUUCCUUUAUAAACAGUCCCAUAACCUCCUUGACCUAGUUUGUCCUUGAAAUUAUUUGUGAUCUUUUUAAUAUCAGCAUAGGAGUACCUUGAGGGCUUGAGAGCUCUAUAAUCUUCCAAAAACUUUUGAAUAUUUACUCUAUGCUCUCUUUUCAACUUAUUAGAGCGAUAGACAAUAAAUAUUAUAAAGAUUCCAAAAGUGAAAUGAAGGAAACCAAGGAUUGCUUCUGCACAUAGGGGAAAAAAAGUUUCUAUAAGUAAUUGAAACAAGAAAAAAAAAAAAAAAAAAAGACAAACUAAGAAUCAUCAUCAUGAUGUCACCCUCAUUAUUGAAAAGAAUAUGAAUAGGAAAUCACCUGUAAGCACCAUUUUAUCCAUUGGAGCACCUGUAAAAGAUAGUAAACUUAUUAGCUUUUUGUAUUCUUUUAAUUAGUAAAAUCAUAAUAGAUUGCAUGACGUUGUAACAUGAGUAUAGUUAUUUUUGGUGUAUUUGGAUUUCAACCUUGGCCUUUGCAGUCCUUUCUACAGGUUCGAUUGUUUUAGCUAAGCCUAAUUGUUGUAGCUAGCUUGUAAUGAAUAAAUAAUAUUGCAUGUUCAGAUCCAUUACUAUAGUAGUUAAUUUGGUUCACAUCCAUAAGGGUUCAAUCCAAUUUUAUGGUACAAACAGAGAAUACUAUAGAAAAUUUCAUGUGCAUAUUAACAUCAUAGUAGGAGAUAAGAAAGGGCUUGCAAGGUGAAAAUGAUGAAGAAGCGGGAUUUAGUACCUUUUGCUGGUUUAUCAAUGCAUUCGAUUUCAGGUUCCGUGCUAUUAUUCUUCUUCCGUUGGCACUUGUUUCCUUUUGCUUCACAGUUUCCGCACAUAGGUUUUGACCAAUUCAUAUAAAAUUCCCUUUCAUGAUCAAACAUAUAAUUAUCUGGGAGUGUAGCAUUGAAAAUCUUCUGGCAAGAGGAUAAGUUCACUUCAGCGAGAGAGUAAGAGGAAGGAGCGACAUAAACUGGGUUACUUGAGAGAAUACUGUAAGGGAUGGACCAAAGUUGAUUAUCAGCAUAUGAUAGCUGAUUUGUUAUAUCUUCAGAACAAUUGAUUUCAGGUUCCCUGCUAUUAUUCUUCUUCCGUUGGCACUUGUUUCCUUUUGCUUCACAGUUUCCGCACAUAGGUUUUAACCACUUCAUCCAAAAUUCCCCUUCAU